UACAGAGGAGCCAAGCGUUGUCCGGAUUGACUGGGCGUAAAGCGCACGCAGGCGGAUGCGCGCGUGGGGUGUGAAAUCUGGCCGCUUAACGGCCAGGCGCCAUCCCAUACGGCGCGUCUGGAGUGAUGUAGAGGUCGGUGGAAUUGCCGGUGUAGUGGUGAAAUGCGUAGAGAUCGGCAGGAACACCCAGGGGGAAACCAGCCGACUGGGCAUCUACUGACGCUGAGGUGCGAGAACGUGGGGAGCGAACCGG
rnacentral:rRNA from 1 species